CAUCAGACCUGAACCAUCAGACCUGAGACCCUGAACCAUCAGACCUGAGACCCUGAACCAUCAGACCUGAGACCCUGAACCAUCAGAGCUGAGACCCUGAACCAUCAGAGCUGAGACCCUGAACCAUCAGACCUGAGACCCUGAACCAUCAGACCUGAGACCCUGAACCAUCAGAGCUGAGACCCUGAACCAUUAGACCUGAACCAUCAGACCUGAGACCCUGAACCAUCAGACCUGAGACCCUGAACCAUCAGAGCUGAGACCCUGAACCAUCAGACCUGAACCAUCAGACCUGAGACCCUGAACCAUCAGACCUGAACCAUCAGACCUGAGACCCUGAACCAUCAGACCUGAGACCCUGAACCAUCAGGUUUACAGUGAACAGGUUCAGAGCUGUGAGUUUGUGUUUCCUCUUUAAAUACGGUGUCCCUCAGGGGUCAUGUUCGGGUCCUUUUGAGUUUUUAUUUAAAUUCAUAAUUUAAUCCAAAUAUUUCAGCUGCAGAGACUCAGUGUGACGCCCCGCCUAAACGCCGCCCUGAGAGGUCAAACUCUGACCCACUGAAGUGAGAAAAUACCUUCAGAAGUUUAACGAGGGAUUUACUAACGAGCUCAUUAACUGAACACACAACACCAUCAACACUCAUGAGUCUGAGAGUCACUCAGAGAUCUCAGCUGGGCAGGUAAAGGGGAGACACACACACACACACAAACACACUCAGACACACACACACACACACACACACACACACACACACACACACACACACACACACACACACACAGCUGUAACAAACUCACAAAAACCAGUGAAAACACGACGAUCGGUGACACUCGUCAUGAAAUUAGAAAUAUUAUUUUACAAUGAGGUGUGUGUGUGUGUGUGUGUCUGAGUGUGUGUCUGAGUGUGUGUGUUCUUACCUCUGGUCACAGCGGUGUGUUGUUGUCGUCCAGCAGAAACUCAGAAAGUGUCUGCAGCUGUUUUUAUACCACUACUCUGCUCUGUGUGUGUGUCUGUGUGUGUGUGUGUGUGUGUGUGAUUAAUUAACAUGACAACAAAACAAUCAUUAUCUUCUACCCCAAAUGUGUGUGUGUGUGUGUGUGUGUGUGUGUGUGUGUGUGUGUGUUAUUACCUGUGUCACAUGUUCAGUGUGUGUGUGAAAGGACGGUAUAGAAAUAAGAGUGUUUGUGUAUUUGUGUGUGUGAAUUUAUACAGUUUUAUAGUUUACCUAAUUACACCGUUUAUAUAUAAAUAUAAGAACACACAAACACACACAAACACACACACACACACACACACACACACACACACACACACACACACAGGUCUAUCUCAUGUUGUCGUCAUGAUUUAACUUCAAAGUUUCUGUAUUUUAAACCCCUGUGUGACCUCAGCCCCCCCCCAGUGUGUGUGUGUGUGUGUGUGUGUGUGUGUGUGUGUGUGUGUGUGUGUGUGUGUAGUUAAUCCGGUGUUUGUGCAGCAGCAGGUAGAUUUCUGUUUGUGUUGUCUGCUCUUUGUUUACUGUCAUCACCACGCUUUUAUUCUGAAAUGUUCAGUAAACACAACAGGAAGUUCACCUGCGUCACACUCUGUGGGAACCCUCAGGUGAACACAUGCACACACACACACACACACACACACACACACUUUCAUAUUGAUGUUAAACUCUCUCUCUGGUGGUUUGUUAAAGGGACAGUCAGUGAUUUUCAGGUUCUCACUCUGACUCGGUUCUCUGGUUUUAGUUUUUUCUGAUGAUCAGAAUCAGACGGUUGAGCUGACCGGCCUGAAGAGGAUGAUGGUCUCAGUUCUGGUUCUCUCGUUGGUCUCCACAGGAGGUCCUGGUCUCCACAGGAGGUCCUGGUCUCCUGUGGGUAAUAUUCUCACUCAGGUCGUUUACAGUCUCAGUUUAAUCAGAAUAAACUCAUAAUCUGUCUUUUUCUCUGAAUCAGACUUCUCUCCUCGUCCUCGUUUACAGCUGAGAAACCUGAAUUAUUGACGUGAACAUGUCCUCCUCCCCAACACUAGGGGGCGAUAUGGGUCUUUCAGCGGCGCUGUUUCCGACCUUUUUUAAGGAUUUCUCCGUUCCUCGUUUUGGGACCGUCCGUAUACGUUCACAUGUCCGUUUCUGUCAGGAGGAAAGUUGUUUCUGAGUCGUAGGUUCUUUGAAUGAUAGCGACACUUCCUCUCUGGUGUUUUUGUUACGGGGGCGUGGCUCAUUGUCCGAUCAUACUCCGACUACGCUGGUUACAUGGGAGAGAAAAUCGGAUUAUCUGGGAGUUCUUAAACACUGAUUAUAGUCGGACUGAGGUGUUUACAUGACCUUCAGAUGUCCGGUCUUAAUCGGAAUAAGACGAUAAUUCGGUUUUCUUGGGUGUCAUGGAAACGGACUGACUGUCAAUAAGAACUUCAUAAAACCACUCUGUAAAAAAACACAGACUGUCCCUUUAAGAGUGAAAUAAAUCAACCUGAGGCUCUCUUCUCUUCAGUAACAUGAAACCGUUUUUAUUUCUGAGGGUGUCGCCCCCUGUGGGCAGAGGAGAGAACUGCAGCUGUACAGGUUUAAUAUGGAGGAGGAGGAGGAACAGUUUACACUGAAGACAAACACACACACACACACACACAUACACACACACACACACACACACAUACACACACACACACACACACACUAACACACACACACACUAACACACACACACACACACACAUGAACAUCUGGAACUUGUCACAAAGGUUCACAUGGGCUCUGAGUCAGGUUCAGGUCUGCAGGUUCUGGUCUGCAGGUUCAGGUCUGCAGGUUCUGGUCUGCAGGUUCCUCAUGGAGCAGGUCUUGAUGGUUCUGACUGAUCCAGGAUCUGAAGGUCAUGGGAGUCAAACCAGCCGGUCAGAUGAUCUUGGACCCUGGUGGACCCUGGUGGACCCUG
rnacentral:lncRNA from 1 species